ensembl:lncRNA
GCCCUGAGAGGAGCUCCUGGCACUGACAUUCGGACACCAUCUCACACUUGUGCUGGUUUCACUGGUCCUCCUGAACAUAUACAUAAAUAUGCCUUUUGCUACCACAUCAGGGUGAACAGCAACACUUGGCAAUUAGUGCAUUUUCCCCCCAAGACUCAACUCUUCCCAAAGUUCUGAGCACCUGAUCCCCUCUGAAUAGGGGCUGUCAGGAGGGGCUCUAUGGCUCCCAUGGAAAUGCACAGAUGUUAUCAUUAAAGAGAUGUCAGCCUUGAUGGGUGGCAGGGGAGGAGGGGAUGUGAUAGUGAGGGUGGAGAAGGCGGGGCAGGGCCCAGUGGGAGGUGAGCACAGCCAGAGCAGUGUCCUCAUGGCACGGAGAGCUUGGUGUCAGCAUUGCAGCCAGAGGACACUGCUGCUAAUAAUGGUAACAAGGCUAAGGUCAGCACCUGGCAGUUUACCGGGCACUUCUUGAACCUUUCUCGGCAUCUCACCAUCUUUCAGAAAGGCAGAUUUUAUUAAUCCCAUCUUGCAGGUGGAAAAACUGAGACCAAAGGUCAGAGUUUUUAUUUUGGCUACAAUCCAAUAUGUACACCAGAGACUGAUGAACUUCCUGACCCAGGUUGAGCCCAGUAAACUGCAGGCGAGUCAUUCCCAGGCCUAGGGUGGAUGGACUUCGGGAGGGCAGAUGGCCCAGAGCAAAGCCCUCACUGCUGGGCGCAGUACCAUCAAGCCUUAGGGGAGGAGGCCCUGAGGGGUGGCUGGGGGACCUUGGCCUGUCCAGGAUCAACCCAGGAAGCAGGUGUGUGAACCCAGGGAGCCCAGGCGCUCCCCAUUCUCAGUGGGUCCUGUGUGUCCAGGUUGGGGGGGUAGUGGUGCUCCAUGCUAGUCGAUGCUUUUCCCCACAGUCACAUGCUUUGCUCCUCCUGCCACCUCGGGUGGGUCUGGGUGGACCUGCCAUCUGCCUGCAGCCGGUCCCCGAGGGGCUGGCCAUCUGAGUCACCUGGACUGACCUGGACUCCCUGUGUCAGCUUGGCAGCAGGUUCCUUUGCUCUUACCUCAUCUGCACCUGCUGGCUUCUGGACAAGGAGUGGGAUCACGUGGCCCAGGAGGAGCUCGGCACAGCUCCAGCUAGAAGAGGUGGGACACAGUGAAAAGGACCGUCUGGCCCGAGGACCGAGGACCUCUCAGAUGCAGCACCUGUCUGCUGGCCCUGCUCUGACACACCUCCUCAGGCGGCCCAGACCCUCAGCCCCCUGACUGCUCACCUGCGGGGCUCUUCAGUACCUGCUCUGGCCCCAGCCUGGCCCCUCUCCCAGAGGGAGCUGGGUGCAUGUGGGGUUGAGCUCAGACCGCCAGCUUAGAGGGGGCCCAGUGCCCAGAGACCUCAAGUGAGAUGCCUCAACUUAGGGGUAUGUGAGGGCCCGCACACUCACGCACACGCAUACCCCCCAUGCAGCUGACCUAUGCGUAUAGCUGCAGAGAGGGGUCUGGGGGGGUCACACUCAGAAAAUGAUGGUGAUGGAUUGCUGGAUUGCUCUGGGGGGUGUGCCUCUGCCUGCAGACUAUCUUCUCAAAUUACCUGAGUUUUUUAAAAUACAUUGGAAAGACAUGUACUCAUCAUUUUCUCGUUUAAAAAUUAGUUGUAAAUAAAAUACAGGUGAACAAUUGCAAAAAAAAAA